rnacentral:lncRNA from 1 species
AACUUGUAUAUUGGACAAAGAAAAAUUAGUACCUAAUUUUUGGUGUAAAUUUUUUGUUUCUUUUCUAACUUUUCGCCAAAAAGCAAACGCGACAAAAGAAAAAAUUUCCUCAUUUAUUUGUGACAUUGGCUCUAGGUUUUCUCCUUUCAAUUACACAGUUACAAAUGAAAUCUUUGUUUGGUAUCUCUCUUCAUUAAGCAUGUUCCCACCUCAAAAUCUAGAUUACUUCUGAAGGUAAAUUUAUCUCCUCUUUUGUACUGUAUUUACAUUGAAGAACAAUUUUAGGAAUUCGAACAAUCACCUCAAAUUCUUUACAAUCUUAUUUAUUUAGGGGUUUUUUUGUUCUUCUUUUUGAGUUUUGAGCAGAUAUUAAUCAUCCAAAGUCCAUCGAAGAUAUGUACGAAGCAGUAACGCCUACUUUCCACUCCAAGGUUUGUGUUGGGGUUUCUCUUCUUGCUGUGAAUCGUUCUUUCCAUUCUUGGUUUUGGAGAAAAUGAGGAAUAGGUAAACAUGACUCGAGCGUUUAUGUCAAUUUUAAGGAUUUCUUUGUUAUGCUCUUAUGUGAAUAGAACAAGUGCUUUACUUUACUAGUUUUCACUUUCCAGAAUUUCCUUAUCGUAUUGAUAUAGGUAGUGGGUGGUUGAAUAUAUUUGAAGUAUAACCUUUCUGUUUUUCGUGAUAAAUCUUACUUUCAAUAUUUGCCAACUUUAUUUAGUGUUUUGGUAGUUUAUGAUGGAACUUGCAAUGUGUAUUUAAAUUAAAAAUAUGAGGAAAAGAAAAAUAUCAUGUGUAAACCUAUUAUAAAUGCAGAACAUGUUCAUAGUUUUGUUUUAUACUUUGCCAAUUACUAGGUACUAGUCAGCUAUAUUAGAAAAGUUAGAUCUAUAAUAGUUAUAUCUGCGGUAACUUAGCUAGUAAACUUGGAAUCAGGUAUCCUAGAACCCAGAGUUGAAAUGCCAUCCAUCUUCCUUUGACAGCUUUCUCUAUAUGCUUAGUAGUCUAGCUAUAGAUUUACAGUUGAAAGUUAACACCAAUCACCAAUUCAUAUCAGGAUUAUCUUUAGAAGGAAAAUAUAAUAGUUUGAGAAAAUCUCAUCUUUGAGAUCCUCCGGCACUGUUGGGAUGAGGUUUAACAGCAGUUGUUAUCACACCUUUGCUAUACAAGCUCACCGCCACCAUUGGAUUAUCUUAAUCGUCAAGUGCUUUCAGAUGAAUCUUUUCGGAUUGUUUCUCUGUUUUCUUCAAAAAUGCUAUUUUUAUUCUUCCAUUUUUCUGCUUUUUAACUGCCUAAUGCAUAAAUAUGGUAUAAAUGCAAAAGAGUUAUUUGGAAGUGGCUUAUUGUUAUUAAUGUUUUAAGUCCUCUUUCUGCUAAAUUUAUUGUAUUUUGCAUUAUUAUUUACAGUCAUUGAAAUAGUUGUUUCCAAUUUAGUCUCUAAGGAAGUGAAGGUGAACAAAAUAUAACAAGUCCUAGAGCCCCUCACAAUUUUUGUUUCACUUUAAUGUUUCUGGAUUUAUACUCUGGUUAUGUGAUUUAUACGCAGUAAUAAUUUUUCAAACAACUGUAGUUACAUUUGCAAUGAAGAAAAAAUAAAGUUACUGUGUGUAAGAUGCUUGAAAGUAGGGACAAGUAAGAAAACUAUUAUCGGCUCCCUUUUGGUGCUCAAGUGAAAUGUGUAGGUAUUGUUAUCAGCUUCCUACUGUUCUUGAUUUUAUAUUCUAAUCAUUCUGUUUUUCUUGUUAUUACCAGCUCCAAUAAAUGUUUUUUCUUGUUCAACAUUUUGGGGGUCAACUGCCAACUAGUUUUUCCAACUCUCGAAUUAAUCAGGUAAAUUUAUUACAAGUUACUAUUCUAUAGUCUUAUUUUUAAUUUGAUAUAGUAUCCAUGGUUGAAGGAUUGAGACAAGAGGGGUUGCUCUGAUGGUAAGCAACCCCCACUUCCAACCGAGAGGUUGUGAGUUCGAGUCUCCCCAAGAGCAAGGUGGGAAGUNNNNNNNNNNNNNNNNNNNNNNNNNNNNNNNNNNNNNNNNNNNNNNNNNNNNNNNNNNNNNNNNNNNNNNNNNNNNNNNNNNNNNNNNNNNNNNNNNNNNNNNNNNNNNNNNNNNNNNNNNNNNCCUCUCUACCCAAGGGUAGUGGUAAGGUCUGCGUACAUACUACCCUCCCCAGACCCCACUAAAUGGGAUUAUACUGGGUUGUUGUUGUUGUUGGUUGAAGGAUUGAUUUGAUUUUUUGUUACUAGAUAUAUUCAUCAAAUAAUUGCUAAACAUAUGUAGUUGCUACUAUAAGUAGAAGAGGAGUAUGGAAAUAGGACUUUAUAACUGAGAACGGGAUUAACAGAGUACUUCUACUUUUUCUUUCUCCUAAUUUGAAAAGCUAGAUGUGUUCAUGUCUUCUUGACCUUUGGAUUUAUGGAAAUAAUUUAGCUAUUUUGACUUUCAUAGAAAAAGGAAAAAAUGUUGAAACCCAACUAAAACUAAACUACACUUAUUGCAUCUUAAUUGGCAGGUUCUUUACGGUUUGCUUAUUUGAUGUUUAGAUAAAAAGAAUAGAGUUGGUAAAUUACUGAAACUAUAAUGACAGUGGAUCCUUGGGACAGUGAAUGUGAAUUAUAAUGUUAGGUAUUAACAUUGUAGACAACAUUCACUAACAUUUUAAUAGCGAAUGUAUAAAUGAGUCAGUAAAGAAGACUUGGAUUUUCACAAGCUAUUUGUCCACUAACUUCUUGAUAAAAAGGACCUUCUAGCUACUUAAUCAGUGCUAUUGCCUAAUCACAGCUGUUUGUUAUACAAGUGGAUGCCUUGUUUCUAUGAUGUUUUAAAGGAUUGACUGGAUUUUAUUUUCUGAAACUUCUAGACUAAUCUAGUGUAAAUUGAUCUCACCCGGGAAGUGAUCAAACGGAAAUUAGAAGCAGCAAGAAAGCCGAAGAACAAAACGAAAUUUAACAGUGUGAACUGAUCGAAAUUUAUACGGGGAAGAAAAGUAAUAUUUGAUAUGCCCGCCGUUUACCCAAAAGAAAAAAAAAAUAGAUGGCCUUCUUCUCUCAGGAGUGUGUGUCAGCAAGCCCAGUAGGAGCAAUUUGGUAAACCUGAUCUUUAAGAAUGAAACAGAAUUCCCAAAAGGCUGCGUAUUUAAAAUAUUUCUGAUAUUUUUGGUCAUUUGAAAUCCAAAUAAGAGAAUGUAAUGUAAGAUGACCAACCUUGUUUUACGGUGUUCCAACACGUCCUUACAACACCCAAAAUGAACGCCCAACUUCGACAUUGUUCUUUCAAUAUAUUUGCCAAACCUCUACACUGUAGAUUUUCACAGUUGCUAACUUGCCUUUCAGUUUCUUUUGUCUCUUUCAGCUAUCUGUCUUCGUGCUCAAUUUAUGUGCUUUGAUUGUACAGUAUUUUAAUUUUAUAGAUAGGUGCAGAUUCACCUGGAAUCAAGGAAGGCUGUGGACAAACUAGAAUAAAGGUAUUGAGAAAUUAAGAGAAAAGAUGAUGUUAGAGAUCUUUGUUGUAAAUGGAGGAAAUUGCAUCACCAGAUCUAUCAAAUGAGUUGCGAAAUUUUCGUUCGCUUCCAAAACAGGUGGAAAGAACUCACAAGAAAGGAGAACGAGGCUAUACUGAUUACAUUAUGUUGUACUUUUUUAGACAAUCUUAUUUUUAUUGUAGGACAUUAGUUCAUCAUAAAUGUGACAAAAAAAUAUACUUUGCCUAUAGUGACAAAGCAGUUUUGUCGGUAUUAAUGAUCUUUUCAGUAACGAAAAUGCUCUGUCAACUACGAUUUUUUAAUACUAUUUUUAAUGAAUAAGUUCGUCAU